rnacentral:lncRNA from 1 species
CCGACCACAAUGUUUGGUGAGUUUACUGCAAGUGGUUAAAAUGUAGCCUCUGGCACUGCAAGGGUUAAAGCGCAGGCACUGCACUGGUAAAAAGUGCAACUGAUGUUCCUUUACAGAGAAAGAGAUCACUCGCUGAUAGUUUAGGAUGGAUAAUUGUAGUCAAAUGUCUGGAAGGAUAAAUCUAUUCCUUUUAGAACUAAAUCUACAAAUCGUGGACUCUACAUGGGGUAACCCUUGCCCUGCUGGAGAUGUGAAUCACAGGGGUGAGUGCUAAUGACAUGGCUAUCCAUCAAGCUGGCAUUAUAGUGCUGUUAGCAACUAAUUAACACAUACAAUCAACUCAGGGACUUCACAAAGAAAAGAACAUCAACAAGAGAAAGCAAUAAAAGUCUUCAGGGAAUUCCAUGCUAAAGUUCAUCUUGGUGAAAAGGAGGUGGCAGGCAUCCACUGACUGAGGGCAAGUCAUUCAAUACAUACACAGCGCAUGGAGCUCUAUGAGAGAUCCUGCCAUCCAGCCAUUGGUUGCACAAAUAAUAAUCCAGUCGGUGUACCACUCCAUAGAACGUAGCAAAUAGUAGAAAAAAUAUAUUUAAUAAAAAUACAAAUAGUACACAAAAAUCAAAGAACACAGGCCCAAAUAUACAAAAACAAGUGAGCCGGCUAAUGCAUAGACCAUAUGAUAUCUUAAAGAAUCAACCAUUUUUUUAUUUCUUGUUUAAAGGGACUCUAUAGGCACCAAAACAACUUUAGAUUAGUGAAGCAGUUUUGGUGUAUAGAUCAUGCCUCUGCAGUUUCACUUCUCAAAUCUCUGACAUUUAGGCGUUAAAUCACUGUGUUUAUGUAGUCCUAGUCACUCCUUCCUGCAUGUGACUUACACAGCCUUCCUAAACACUUCCUGUGAAGAGAUAUCUAAUGUUUAAACUUACAUUAUUGCACAGUCUAUUUAAAUUAGAAUUUAUGAUCUCCUGCUCGUUUAAUAGCCAUCUAGAGACUGCAGGAGCCUUCUUUGUGUGAUUGAAGCUUAAUUUACUGAACAAUGGAUAGAAAUUUCUUAAAUAAGUUAACAUCUGAAUGAAUAUGAAACAAAUUUUUCAUGCAGGCUAUGUGAGUCAUAGUCAAGAGAGGGGUGGCUAGGGUAUAAACAUAAACAGAACCAAAAGUGAUUUAACUCCUAACUGGCAGAUAAUGUGUGACAGCAGAGGCAUGAUCUGUACACCCAAACUGCUUCAGUAAGCAAAAAUUUUUUUGAUGCAUAUAGUGUCCCUUUAAAGGGACUCUGUCGGUAGCCAGACCACUUUAGCUCAUUGAAGUGGGCUGGGUGCUGUGACCCUUUUGCACUUAAUGCUGCAAUGUAAAAAUUGCAGUUCCGGAGAACUGCACUGUUUACAUUGCAGCUCUAAGUCUGCCCUCUGUGGCCUCUGCCACUAGAGGGCUUCAGGAAUCUAAACUGACUUUUGGUCUAUUAUCUGACGCUGGACAUUGGUGCUGGAUUUAGGUAAGUGGCUGGAAGUGUUUUAACCCCUUCAGCCCCAUGGGAGGGGGGACCUAAGGAAGGGGGAGUGGACCUAUUAACCCUAUAGUGCCAGAAAAACGGCAUUGUUUUCCUGGCACUGUAACAUCUCUGUAAUGUUAGGUGUUGGGAGAAGUGAUUGGAUCAGUAUGUGAUCUAAUGACCCCAUUAGGUUUGAAUAUAUUACAGAAUACACAUAGAAGGCUGUGCUUAGUUACAGAAAUACGUAUAAGUGUUCAAUUUAAUUUUGCAUUGUUCUUCUGUUUUAUGAUUGACAGGUCAUUUAAACUUAUGUAUAUCUCACUCCAUUUGGGAGAACUGUGCAAAUAAGACAUUGUAGAGCAUGCAGUGUGCUAGAUAAUACAUAUUAUUGCUUAUAGACCCAUGUUUACAGGUUUUAAAGGUCCACAAGAAUUGCACUUUUCCUGAACAUAAGUGUUUGGGGCCAAAUUAAAACCAGUACAAUGGCAGAGAUUCAAAAGAGAUUCAGUUGGAGAUUGGUAUUGUAUCACAUUCACAACCCCAAGGGAUUCAUGGGGGCUGAUUAUGAUAUGAAUGUUUGUGGACUCAUCUAAUGUGAUUGAGGGUGUAGUUUACUGAGUGUGAUUGAGGCUGGCAAUGGGUGAGUAUGAUAGGGUGUGGGGAUUGGCUGAGUGUGAUUGUGCGUUGAGUUGGCUGAGUGUGAUUAUGUAGGUGGUUGUCUCGGUGUGAUUUUGUAUGGAGGUGUCUGAGUGCAAUUGUGUGUGGGCUUGGCUGAGUGUGAUUGUGGGGAUUUGCUCACUGUGAUUGUGUGUGCAGUUCUCUGAGUGUGAUUGUGUGUUGGGUUGGCUGAGUGUGAUUAUGUAGGUUGUUGUCUAGGUGUGAUUUUGUAUGGAGUUCUCUGAGUGUGAUUUUGUGUGGGGUUGGCCGAAUCUGAUUGUUAGGAUUCGCUCCGUAUGAUUGUAUGUGGAGUUGUGUGAGUGUGAUUGUGUGUAGAGUUAUGUGAGAGUGUGUGUGGAGUUGGCUAAGUGUUUGUGAAAUAUUUACACCAUAAAAAACGUGUUGUUUUUUUAAACCCCUCCAUCCCUCUUCAUGUGCUUACCUUUCUGCAAGGAUGGGGUAUAAUUCUCCAUGAUCUAGUUCAUGUCUGAUCAUUGGUGGUUCUCGAGUGCUGCUGGCUGCAUACUUGGGGGAGCUCAAGGGGCCCAGUCGUAAUAAUAACUAUUGUGACCCUAGUACAUGUGUCGGAGCCGACAAGGUUGGUAUAAAGACCCUUAAUUGGUUCUUGAAAACGCAUUACAUAUGGGAGCAGAUUUUUUGGUACUUUCACUGUUGUUCAUCAAUCUAAGAAUUAUUAUUUUUUGGUAAAAAAAAAUAUUUCUUAACUGUUUGAGCACUGGGUGCAAUAUAUAAUAGAGCUUGCAGUGGUCUUAGAGGUUAAAUGAACCUUACUUUUUGUACCUCUUUUUUUUACAGCUCAUUCAGCUUGUCAGUCUAAUCACGACUCGGAUUCCAGCAGUUGAUGUUUAAUUCACAUAAUGUGCGGGUGAUAAGAUUUAUUUCAGGUAAACAUGUAAUCAAUACAUUGUGCUAAUGUUACACUUUCCCAGAAUACUCAGAAGAAGCAGAAUUCAUAGUUGUGCCGAGUUUGCAACUUUGUGAAUAAUACAUUGCACAGACAAAUGAAAAUUAUGAUUUCAUUGGAUUAAUUUCUUUUUGCAUUGAUUUACUUUUGGUAGUGAUUAAAG